rnacentral:tRNA from 4 species
GGGCCCGUAGUCUAGUCGUAGGAUGCCGGCCUUGCAAGCCGGAGAUCCCGGGUUCAAAUCCCGGCGGGUCCA